rnacentral:rRNA from 1 species
AUUGAACGCUGGCGGCAGGCCUAACACAUGCAAGUCGAACGAGUGGCGGAGGGGUGAGUAAUGUAUGGGCAACUGCCCGAUGGAGGGGGAUAACUACUGGAAACGGUAGCUAAUACCGCAUACCAUGGGAUGUGCCCAGAUGGGAUUAGCUAGUAGGUGGGGUAAUGGCUCACCUAGGAGACGAUCCUUAGCUGGGCUGAGAGGAUGACCAGCCACACUGGAACUGAGACACGGUCCAGACUCCGACGGGAGGCAGCAGUGGGGAAUAUUGCACAAUGGGCGCAAGCCUGAUGCAGCCAGGCCGCGUGUAUGAAGAAGGCCUUCGGGUUGUAAAGUACUUUCAGCGGGGAGGCGUUACCCGCAGAAGAAGCACCGGCUAACUCCGUGCCAGCAGCCGCGGUAAUUC